GACGGAGGAGGCAAGCGUUGUCCGGAAUCAUUGGGCGUAAAGAGCGCGUAGGCUGUUUUUCAAGUCGUAUGUGAAAACCUCAGGCUCAACUUGAGGAUUGCAUAUGAAACUGGAUAACUUGAGUGCAGUAGGGGAAAGCGGAAUUCCUGGUGUAGCGGUGAAAUGCGCAGAUAGCAGGAAGAACACCAGUAGCGAAGGCGGCUUUCUGGGCUGCUACUGACGCUGAGGCGCGAAAGCUAGGGGAGCAAACAGG
rnacentral:rRNA from 1 species